GGAAUAUUGCACAAUGGGGGAAACCCUGAUGCAGCGACGCCGCGUGAGCGAAGAAGUAUUUCGGUAUGUAAAGCUCUAUCAGCAGGGAAGAAGAAUGACGGUACCUGACUAAGAAGCACCGGCUAAAUACGUGCCAGCAGCCGCGGUAAUACGUAUGGUGCAAGCGUUAUCCGGAUUUACUGGGUGUAAAGGGAGCGCAGGCGGUGCGGCAAGUCUGAUGUGGAAGCCCGGGGCUCAACCCCGGUACUGCAUUGGAAACUGUCGUACUAGAGUGUCGGAGGGGUAAGUGGAAUUCCUAGUGUAGCGGUGAAAUGCGUAGAUAUUAGGAGGAACACCAGUGGCGAAGGCGGCUUACUGGACGAUAACUGACGCUGAGGCUCGAAAGCGUGGGGAGCAAAC
rnacentral:rRNA from 1 species